GCAUGAAGAGGGAGAGAGACUGGGAGACAGAGAGAAAAUUGGCAGGCAAGCGUGUCCAUGUGAGGGUCUGGGAAAGGCAAAGAAGUGGCGAGAGAGAAUGUGACCAACGAGAAGGAGAGGGGCUGACAGAGAGAAACUGGCAGGCAAGUGAGUAUCCAUGUGAAAGAGAAGUGGAUUGUGCAAAAGAGCAAGAAUGAAGACCAUUGAGUACCUGAAACACCCAUCAAACUAGAACAGAAGAAACACUGCCAUCACCAAAUUCAACAUUAAGGACUUCCUAAUGAUAUUCCACCUGGAUCAAUCUCAAGACAACAUAUUGCUUGUUUGUAGCAACACAUUGUAGCAAAUAAAUAAAUAAAUAAAUAAAAAGACUUGAGACCAGAAACAAAGCAAACAAGAUCAAAAAUGAUUAAAGGUAUGCAACAGGCAAACACAACAAGGUGUCUUCAGCCCUUGUUACCAAACACUAGUUCUUGAGAGAAAAGACUGAAAGAGGAUGUGCUUAAAAAAAGAAAGAUCACCUUUGAUUAAUGUUGAAGAAUUUUUUUUUUAUUAAAUGAAUUUAUAUGCAUAUAAAUGCAUG